UAGGAAAUAAACUGUCCAGUGUCAGAGAA
rnacentral:piRNA from 1 species